rfam:Sarcophilus harrisii ctg7180002506273, whole genome shotgun sequence.
CCAAGGGCUCUUUUCAGAGCCACCUACUCUCUCAAAAUAAGAGCUU